GGCCGUAUCACACUGAAUCACCGGUUCUUGGUCGAUCACCGAAGUUAAGCAACGUCGUGUCUGUUAAGUACCUACAUGGAUGAGCGCUUGGGAAUGCCAGGUGCUGUAAU